AAAGGACAAGCGGUGUUAAGGCCCCUUGUUGGCACCCCAAUGACUAGGGUUCAAACCCUAUAGAUGUAAUCCCCAUCCCCCGCAACUUAACUGCGUACAAAAAAAACCCUAUAUUUGUGUCUAUUCACAACUAGAGAAAAGAAUUGACACAAAGAAAGAACAUGUUAUAACUAAAUAAUGUCAAGGGUUGACAUGAUAAGCUAAGGUUUAGACUUUUAGAGAAAAACACUAGUGGUAGCAUUACAGAACACAAAUCAAACAAUAUAUUUCAUAGAUCUUAACAACCAAAUAACUGAAUUCAGAAAGUACAACCAUUGUAAGAUGGAAUGAAACUGUUUUAAAACUUGAAAGUGCAAUUUCAGUUGAGUGCUUUGAUGUUUUUAUUAGUAAUCCAACAUCCCCGUCUAAAAUAGUAAUAAAAAAUGCCAGAGUUACAAAGAAAAGAUCUUACUUUCUGUUCUGCGCUUAAGGGAGGUUCUUAAAUGCUGGUCACUACCAAUGUAGCAUGUGUGACAUGCAGUCUCUUUGGUAAUUAUAGAAACGUAUUAAUUAUGUCUGGGGAAAGAAUUAGAAGCCACUUGCAUAUGAAAUAAUAACCGGGCAUAUAUCCUAAGUAAGCAUUUGAUAUGUGCUUUGACUCUUUUCCUCUACCCCCCCCCCCCCAAAAAAAAAAAAAAAACAAAACAAAAGUACCUCAUAUUGAACGCUUCAAAGUGUAAAGGAAGUAAGGUUGUGAUCCUCCAAAUAUAGCAAAUAACUUUAAAAGGGAUUUGAACACGCCAAUAACACAGCCAUUGACAACAGAAAAGUAGUAAUAACAAAUUAAUUGAAUUAAAAGCCAGUUAAAAGAAACCAAAAAAAGGUUACACUGACUGACGUUCUCAUGGGCCAUGUAGCGAAGCAGCUUGAUCUCACGAAGAGUUCUCUUUGCAUCAACCUUGUUGCCAAACGCAUUCACUAUCUUCUUUAUUGCGGCGCUUUCAUUUGUCUCGGAAUUCAACGCAGAACUUAAACCCAAAUAAUUGAAAAGGAUCAACAAGAUGACAAAUCUUUAACUAACAAAAACCAAUCAAAUAAGAAAGAAACUAAAAAAAGAAAAGAAGAAUAAUAUUACCAAACGGUGCCGUAAGCAUCUUCACCGAUGGGCAUAAUAGGGGGUUUAUAUUUAGCAGUGACCUCGAAAAUGUUGCCGAAAAUGUUAUACUGAGUAAACCUGCCGCCAUAGCUAGGAGUGGCGGGAAUUUGCAUCCGGGGAAACAUUAGAGGAAGUGCAUUUUGGUAGACAGGUUGCUGCGGCGGAGCUGCCUCCGCCAUCUGGGGGUCCGGCGGCUGAGGUCGCCCUCCCCCUUCCAUUCUUUUACUUCGCUGGAAAAAGAGUAAGCAAUUGGGGUGGUUGAGUAGACUUCGGAAGGAUACUUAGUAGUCAAUUGAACUGUUUGUUUGUUUUCUUUUUCUUUCUUACGCUGAAAUUUAUUUAUCGUCCUUAAACAGGAAGACUGGCGCUGGCGUUGCGUGUAAAUUCUUAUACGAGUCGGUCCGGGUUGAGCCCGAAAACUUGUUUUCGCCGGAGCUUGGGCUGGCCGUGUUCGCUGAAUUCCAAUUUUUAUUUUAUAAUUUAAAAUGUCAAAAUUGAAAUGAUUAAUAAUUCCGGUCGUUUUAUGGUUCAAAAUAUCAAAAACAAAUAUAUUUUUUUUUCAAAAAAUUAAAUGAUUAAUAAUUCAAGUCAUUUUAGUUAUAAAAAAUCUUGCUUAAGUUCUUGAUGUUUGAUUAAUGAAUUUUUUCAAUUUUAAUAUUUUAAAUAUAUUUGAUAAUUAUAUUUUUUUACUUAAUAUAAAAUUUUCAAUUUUCAAGAUAAAAGUAUUAAACAAGUAAAUAGAUGGCAUUUUAAAAUAUAUAUUUAAAAUAAAUUGUUUUAAAAGAAUAUAUAAAUUAUCAUAUUUAACUUCAUUCCAAAUAAAUUCAAAGUAUAUAAAAUAUUAUAUUAAUAAAAUUAAGAAUAUAAUUUUCAAAAAACAAGUAGUUUUACCAAAUAACAUGGUAGUAAACGUUUACUAACUUAUCAAAUAAAUUUUAAUAUAAAACUCAUUAGUAUAACUUCAACAUUUAAUUUUCCAAUUUAUCCAACAACCAUUUAUUAUUCUUAUUAUUAUUGUUGUAGAGAAUUUCUCUAUUUUUUAUCCUUGGAUUAAUUUUGAUAUUUUUAUGCAAAAAUAAUCUUGAUGUUCUUUUUAAAAGGAUAAAUUUAAGUCUGUAGAGAUAAAACAUAAAAAGACUGUAAAUAAAAAUAGAUUUUAUAGAAUUAAAUAGGUUUUAAAGCUUUUGAAGAGAAUAAAUUUUAAAAACUGGUAUAGUAACCCAGAUACCACCAUAUAAGAGCUGUGCCACUUACAAACUUCUUAUGGGUUUUAAAUGAACAAUUUGCUAAUGACAAGCAUUUAAGAGUGUAUGCAACAGAGAUAACAUGAUGAUAGCACAAUUCUUAAUGAUACAGUACUCUUACCUGAUCUUUAGUAAUUGAUAUAAUUUUUUUUUGUACUCUAUAUUUUCUGCUUGUGCUGGGUUUAGAUGGGCGAACCACCGGUUUACCAACUAAAUUUGCAUUUAGGCAAAAGUCUCAACGCCAUUGAGUUUUCCACAGUGUUACUCUAAGUUCUGCUCUUCCCCCCUCCAAUUACUGAUUGGGAAAGCAAUUCCUUUCUUGAAGAUCUGGAAAUCAAGCAUCUAUCACAAAUUAGUAACACAUGAAUGAUAACUUGCAUUUUUUUUCUCGUAUAUCAAUUUUAAAAAUAAAUGUCAGAAAAAAGAAAAUUGAGGUCAAAAUGUUGACCUGAUUAAUCUUCAAGCACACUAUAGGGACAUCAAUGAUCAAACAGCAAGAGAGGGGGUUUUGUUUUCUCUCUUUCCCUUUUAGGAGGGGGGAGGGGUAUUCUUCAAUUGUUUCAGAAAAAAACAUAGAUACGACUGCAAGGCAGUACAACCUACCAUUUCGUGUCAGUACCACGGCGAGCUUUGUUUUUGACCUUAAGGCACUAACAUAGUAACAGCUGUGUAUAAUUUCUGCAGUCUCUUAACAUAGAAAUAGGACAUAAAAGUCGUCUUGAUAUGAAUUUGUUGUCAUCUGAAGUUCUUCUAAACAUAUCUUCAGCUAUUUUCUAUUUUUUAACAUCAUUUUAUUUUUACAACAUGUAGGAUCUUUAGUUUAUGCAUAACAUUAUUAGGCAACAUUGCUGUCUUAUUUAUUUGCACAAAGAAGCUUCCUUUGAAACUAAUGUCCAUACCUUUGCAUUGCAGUUUAAACUUUAAACCAUUUAAGAGGUUUCAUUUUCUAAAUCUUACACCAAAAUGAGUUCAUAAAUGUAAAACCACUUAACAUAGGACAGAACAUGGGAGAAUACAUACCAGGAAUAAGUUCUACCAUGCAAAUGCUGGAAGGACGUAUGUUGGAUAUGCAUCAUAUUUGGCCGCAAGGGCCUUUACAGAGGAUAUAUCUGCAACUUGUCCAAAACUAUCCAGUCCAAGUUCAGUUGCAUGGAUCCCUCCAGUGGUAAAUGCUGACUGGAUUCCAGCGGCAUUUGCACCCUUAAUGUCAUGAUGAAGAGAGUCACCUACAGCAAUAGAAUCAGAAGCUUCCACACCAACCAUGGCCAUGGCUGAUUCAUAUAUUAUCUGAAAAGGAAAAACAGGUGUAAAAAAAAUGACAGUUCCAUAGGGAAAAGGUUCAUUGAAAUACAGGAUGAAAGAAACAGUUAUAUGAGGAGAAAUAGUGGCACACCAUCCAUUAACAUUUGAACAUAAAGCACUCAUGUUACAUGCUUAACGGGUUGCCUUCUGAUGCUAAAGUGCAAAAUAAGAUAACCAUCCACUUGAUAAAAUUAAAUAGAAUAAUCAUAGAGAAAACAAUUCAGUUAAAAUAGCGAAACACUAUCUGACAGUAUAGAUCUAUCAACUGCAUUUAUUUGAACAUAUAGGCAUAGUUGCUUGGAUAUGAUAAAUAUUAAAUCCUAAACAAACCCACAAACAAUGCCAGUUACUGACUCUGCUAAAUUUGUUUAACAAGGUGAAAAAUUGUGAAUUUAUAUAUUAUGAAAAAAACUCAGAGGAAAAAUUCAGUUCAAUUUCUACUGCUUUAGUUUACAGAUUUAUAAAGAGAGAAAUAAUCAUUUUAAAGGAAAUAAAUCCUAAUUCCUAAGAAUCAGUAAUUGAUAUCCUAAUUUCCUAAGAAUCAGUAACUGAGAUUAGUUUCUAUUUACAAGAGAAUUAAUAGUAAUAAGGUAAGAUUUCUAUCCUUAAUUAUAGGGAUUCCAACACUCCCCCUCAAGCUGGAGUGUAAAUGUUAAAUCAAACCCAGCUUGACAAUAAAUUCUUCAAACAUGUUUCUGGUCAAACUCUUAGUUAACAUGUCUGCAACUUGUUGUCUAGUAGGUAGGUAGGUGAUGCAUACUUCUCCUGAGUGUAUUUUUUCUUUUAUAAAGUGACGAUCUAUUUCCACAUGUUUGGUCCGAUCAUGAUGCACAGGAUUAUGUGCUAUGCUGACAGCAGCUUGGUUGUCACAGUACAUCUUCAUAGGUCUGGUAUAAGGCACUUUUAGUUCUCUCAUAAGUCUUUGUAUCCAAACUCCUUCGCAUAUACCAUGAGAUAGUGCUCGAUACUCUGCCUCUACACUGCUGCGUGCUACCACAGAUUGUUUUUUGCUCCUCCACGUCACGAGAUUACCCCAAACAUAACUACAAUAGCCGCUUGUAGACCGUCUAUCAUUAACAGAACCUGCCCAGUCUGCAUCAGUGUAGACUUCCACGCUUCGGUUGACAGUCUUCUUGAAGUACAGGCCUUUACCAGGAGUUCCUUUGAGAUAUCUUAGUAUUCUAUAUGCAGCUUCCAGGUGCUUCUCCCUCGGGGCAUGCAUAUACUGACUAAUAACACUCACACUGAAGGCUAUGUCAGGACGGGUGUGAGAUAGGUAAAUGAGCCUUCCUACUAGACGUUGAUAUCUCCCCCUGUCGAUUUCUUCUCCAUCCUCAUUAGUUCCCAAUUUAAGGUUAAACUCCAUAGGAGUUUCAGCUGGUUUGCUGCCCAUCAAACCAACUUCCGACAGUAGAUCAAGAACAUAUUUCCUUUGGGAAAUGAAGAUACCUUUUUUUGACCUUGCUACCUCCAUACCAAGAAAAUAUUUAAGACUCCCCAAGUCUUUAAGUUCAAACUCUGUACCAAGAAAUUCUUUCAAUCUCAAAAUUUCGCUCGAGUCAUUUCCUGUUAAUAUUAUAUCGUCGACAUAAACGAUAAGGAUGCAGCAUUUACCCUCUUUCGAGUGCUUGUAGAACAUGGUGUGGUCUGCCUGUCCUUGAAUGUAAUUUCUGCUAGUCAUAGCUUUUGCAAAUCGGCUGAACCACGCUCGUGGAGAUUGUUUCAACCCAUACAAGGACUUCUUCAACUUACACACUUGGCCCUUGUUUUCUUCAAACCCAGGUGGGAAAUCCAUGUAUACCUCCUCAUUUAAUUCCCCGUUGAGAAAAGCAUUUUUUACAUCCAAUUGAGUCAAGUGCCAAUCAAGGUUGGCAGCAAGAGAUAGCAGGACUCGAACGAUGUUUAGCUUGGCAACCGGUGCAAACGUCUCGUUGUAGUCGAGACCAUAAGUUUGGGUGAAUCCCUUAGCCACAAGUCGAGCUUUGUAUCGGUCUAUACGGCCAUCGGGUUUAAAUUUCGUAGUGAAAAUCCAUUUGCACCCUACGAUUUUUUUUCCUUUAGGUAGAUCUGAGACUUCCCAUGUUUCAUUUUUUUUUAGGGCCUUCAUUUCUUCCAUCACGGCUUGUCUCCACUCAGCUGAUUCAAGAGCCUCUUCUAUAUUUUUUGGAGUUUUUACAGAAUCAACAUUAGUCACAAAAGCUUUGUAAGACUUAGAUAAAUUUCCAUAGGAUACAAACCGAGAAAUAGGAUGUUGAGUGCAGCUCCUUGUACCCUUUCGAACUGCAAUUGGAAGAUAGAUGGAUGGUGACGAAGGUGGGACUUCUGUUUCAGAACAGUCCUCGGUUGGAGAUGUAAUUGGNNNNNNNNNNNNNNNNNNNNNNNNNNNNNNNNNNNNNNNNNNNNNNNNNNNNNNNNNNNNNNNNNNNNNNNNNNNNNNNNNNNNNNNNNNNNNNNNNNNNGUGGAGGUAUUGUUAUUGGGAAGGACGGUGUUAAAUUCUUGCUGUACAGGGGAAACAACAAUUAAAUCUGGGAUAGGUUUGUUUGUGAUAGUAGUAGUAGGACCAGGAGGUAUAAUGAGGAGAGUAUUAAGGGUCUCAUCUUCAUUAAAAAUCUCCCCCUGAAGAAGAGAUGCUGCAAAGUAUGGUUCAUUUUCAAAGAAGGUAACAUCCCGAGAGACAAACAUUCGGCGCAAUGUUGGUGAGUAACACUUAUAGCCUUUUUGUGUAGGGGAAUAUCCAAUGAAGAUGCAGGUGUGGGCUCAAGGAUCAAGUUUGGAUUGAUUUGGUUGAUGGUUAUGGACAAAAGCUUUACAGCCGAAUAUUUUGGCUGGAAGAUUAGGAAUAUGAAAUAGAGGGAAGGCCUUUAAAAGAGUAUUUAGAAGUGUUUGGAAAUUGAGGAUCUUUGAUGGCAUUCGGUUUAUGAGAUAACAGGCAGUGAGGACAGCUUCUCCCCACAAGUAUUUUGGAACAUUCAUAGUGAACAUUAUGGCUCGAGCCACAGCAAGGAGAUGACGAUUUUUUCUCUCAGAGAUCCCGUUUUGUUGAGGAGUGUCAGGACAAGAGCUUUGGUGUAUAAUGCCUUGGUCAGAAAGGUAUGGACUUAAGACAGAGUUGAAGUAUUCUNNNNNNNNNNNNNNNNNNNNNNNNNNNNNNNNNNNNNNNNNNNNNNNNNNNNNNNNNNNNNNNNNNNNNNNNNNNNNNNNNNNNNNNNNNNNNNNNNNNNUUCGAACCAUUGAGUGAAAAUUUUGGAAUACUUUGGGUGUUUCAGAUUUUUCUUUGAGUAGAUAGAUCCAACAGACCCUAGUAUGAUCAUCAAUGAAUGUUAUAAACCAUCUAGCCCCUGUAAUAUUUUUCACUCGGCUAGCUCCCCAUAAGUCACUAUGGAUUAACGAAAAAGGUUGGGACUGAAUAUGUGGUUUUAAUGGGUAUGGCACACGGGUAUGUUUAGAUAAUUGGCAAAUUCCACACUUCGAGGAACUAAUACUUUUAUUUCGAAAUAACAGCGGAAGAUGUUUUUUCAAAUACACAAAGUUUGGAUGUCCUAACCUAUGGUGCCAUAACAUAAUAGUGUCCUCUUUUGAAGUGGAUAGAGCCAAUCCCCCUUGUGUACUGUUUUUAUUCCAAAUAUAUAGUCCAUCAUCAACUUUAGCAGUGCCAAUCAUCCUCCCCGAUUUCUGUUCCUGUAUCACACAACCAAUUGCAGAAAAUUCAACAAGAACAUUUUCAUCCUUAGUAAGUUUACUAAUUGAAAGUAAAUUACAGGACAAGUUUGGGACAUGUAGGACUUUAUCGAGAGAAAAACUCUGUCAUUUGUACUUCUCCUAUUCCAGCCACAAGUGAGUAAGAACUGUCAGCUAUGCGGAUUCGGGAUUUGUUAUGACAAGGAGUGUAGGUGUGAAACAACGUGGAGUCACCUGUCAUGUGAUCGGAGGCGCCCGAAUCGAGUAUCCAAGGAGAUUGAUUAUUAGAUUCAAAAGCAAUGUUGAGGGCAGUACCUUGAGUGGCUAGAGAUCCAUGAGUAGUGGGAGUACCAAGUAUCUUAUGGAGAGUCUCAAGCUGUGUUUUGGUUAAGCGAACAUCAAGAACAUCAUCAGCAGUAGUGGAGGAAUUAAUUUCACCUUGAGUGAUUCCCUGAUUGAUAUUCUGAGUUAUUUGUGAUGUCUCAGUUUCAGAGAAAUUUUCAUUGAUAUCACCCAUUGGAGGACUAAACCGAAGGAAUUUUUAGGAAGGGAAAUUAGAGAAAAAAAAUUAGGAUCGAAUGAAUCCUAAAGCCCUGAUGCCAUGAAAAAAACUCAGAGGAAAAAUUCAGUUCAAUUUCUACUGCUUUAGUUUACAGAUUUAUAAAAAGAGAAAUAAUCAUUUUAAAGGAAAUAAAUCCUAAUUCCUAAGAAUCAGUAAUUGAUAUCCUAAUUUCCUAAGAAUCAGUAACUGAGAUUAGUUUCUAUUUACAAGAGAACUAAUAGUAAUAAGGUAAGAUUUUUAUCCUUAAUUAUAGGGAUUCCAACAUAUUAAGAUAGAAUUAGGAGGACAAAACAACCAGGUAAUAGCAUCCUAUGACAAUCACAAAAGAGGUAUUAUGUCCAAAUAUUCAUGAUUGAUAGAAUAAACUUGCAUGCCUGUUUAUUAGAGCAAAGAACAAAAUGACCAUCUCACCUUAUCUGGUUUCCCCAUCCAUUUCACUUCACCACCAAGCUUCUCAUAUUUGGCUGCCAAGGUACCUAACGCAUAAACCAAAAUGAAAUUAAAUAACCCCAACCACAAAAAUCCAAGGGCAUAGAGGGAUUGCAGGAGCAGAGAAUCCAUAUAACUGCUGUUUUUUCAUUAAAAAUUUGAAGAUAGAAAAGGUACUUAUCAUGACUUCAGAGGAAAAAGUAUAUUAUUUAAAAAAAAAAAAAUGUAGCAUCAAUCAUCUAAAUAAGUGGCAAGAUUCAAAAUUUUAACUGACAAGAAUCACCAUAAAUGAAGUUGGUGUAAGGUUUCUUUAAGAAAUCAAAUCUUACAACUCUUUGGAUUUUUUGGCAUCCAAGAUAAGUUUGACUUCUUUCAUGUUCUCCAUAGACUGAAGGAAUAAGCAAAUUGUUGAAAGAUCACAGAAAAACCUUUGUCUAGAGGAAACUGCAAAACCUUGACAAAAUAAGUCUUAAACAAACCUUAGCGCUGCCUUUGAGAGUAAAAUCAAUAAAGCUCUCAACUUAAGUUAAUUAUUUCAAGAUGAUAAAUCAAGUAACAUUCCUGGAAUAUGAGAGUGUGCAAAAAUGCACAUCCUCAUUGUAAGAUGAAGUGCAUUGCAAGAAAAAUAAAACCAUAUUUCUGUCUCUUUUAAUUAUAAAAUACAUUUUUGUUCAGAAAAACUUCAUCUAAACGUGAAAGAGGAAAGCCAUUUGCAAGCUUACGGGAAUAAAUGUCAGAAUACUGGUAGGAAUCACAAAAAAUGAAUUCAAGAAACCGACCAAACAGAUUUAAAACCGUAAAUAUUCCUAAGUAUAUGAAAUUUAAAAAGAAAAAAGAAGCUUAAGUGAAAUUAACACGUAUAAAAUUGAUAAGCAUUUAAUAGGUGUCAACACUCUGAAGGCAAUAUAACUAGGGAGAUCAGAAGAACAACUGAAAUGACAUAAACAGAAAUAGAAUGACCCGCAUUGCACAACUAAAAAGGAGAUGGCUUUGAAAUGCUAAUACAAAUAAAACGUAUUUAACAGUAGAAGAUGAUGGCAAUUGUCUGCUUCUCAGUUAUUGAUGUAUUGUUUCUGGUUCCAGUAGAGUAACUGUAAAUGUAAAUGUGGUUUAAAAUUACUGCUAUUGUUUUUUGAGUGAAAAAUUAUUGUUAUUGUUAUUCAACCCAUUGUUGCUGUUACGUAAAUCUUUACCGCUUACCAGGCAUAAUACUCAAAGCUCUAGCUUCAACAGUCACAAAGUCCGGAUUAGCUACCACCAUUGGAAUCUUUUUAGCUGCACAAUGCUCUAAUAUUUUCUCAAGACCGUCAAGACUCAUAGGACGUACCAAACCUGAAGGAAGCCCCAAGGCUUCGGUGCCAUGGGCUAAGAUAAAAUCAGCUUCUUCAGCAUUCUCAAUAACUUGUAAGCCCAAACCCUACAAGAAUAAAUUGAUAUUUUACGACAUUUUAAAUCAAUCAAGCUGGCUAGUCAUGAAGUCUGAGUACAACUGGUAAAGCAAUGGAGAGGAUAAAAGUAUUUGUAAUUGGCACACCAACGGAUGGACGGUGUUUAAAUCCUCUUUGAAAGCCAAUGGCUGAAGUUGUAGUUUUUCAACAAAAGUCAUUCAGUACAUGGGGACAUGUUUUGAUAGUAAACAGGCUCUUAGUAAAGGAAUUAUUUGAGUUUUGGUGCUAAUUAAUUUUAUUAGGGCCUUUAUGCGGACAUCAUUUAAAUUCUUCAACCAUAAAUCCUAAACUUUGUAACUGGAAUCUUCUCUGACCACAAUCCUUAAGCAGGUAAACUUUCUAAUCUUCUUAAAUCAGUUAGUAGCACAAAAAGCAUUCAUUUCAUUCUAAAGUUGAAAUGGUUUACACAUCUCGUAAAGUCUCUUUCAUAUUAAACUGUCCAUGGCUAUUGUCAAGCAAACACAAAAUUAUGGCUUGAUUAUAUUAGAAGCUAGUCACAGAAAAGGUAGCAAUAGAACAAAUGUGUACUUCUAGUGGACCACAGCAGCUAUAUAGUAUUUGUAUUCAAUUUGAUGAUAUGCAUAUGAUGAUUACAAACUAUCCAGAAGUCAGAAGGUAGACUUUUAGUUUACAAGGCAUCUUGGAUGUUUAUUAGAUAGUAAUACAGCAUAAAUUAGGAAUAUGUGGUUUUAAUGCUACAACCUUCGAAUGAGAAAGAGGAGAGAGACUACAUGAGAUUUCUUAAACUGGGGAUGCUAUUUGAGUAAAGCAAUAAAUAGGAAGGAAGAAUAAUUAAGAAACACUCAAAACAGUUUGCAUACCUCAAGAGAUAUAGCACCCCUGUCACUCCAGGUCAUAUGAAUGCAAGACCUUCCGAGAGCAGCAAACCAAGCAUUGUCCCUCCUGAAUGUGAUAAAUACUGACAGGUAAACUCUCAAGAUGUAUGUCACAGGCUUCCAGAAUAAGAAGUUAAAAAACAAAGCAGUAUAUAACACUGCAGCUGCAAUUGCAUAAUAUAAGCAUAAGAAGGUGCAUCUGGAAAAUCCAUAAGACAAAUUAUUUUGAUUUUAAGGUUAAAAAAGGUUGCCUAGUUUCUUUUCUUUUUCUUUUUUAAAUGAAAUUCUGUAAAACAGGAAAUCUUUAUUCAUAUUAGAACAUUGCAUGGAACUCAACAGGUAGAUGAAUUUUGCAGUACCACAAAUUUGGUCCAACUAAUCUAAUGCACAAUGAUUUUUUUUAAAAUGUGUUAUAGAUGUUGGGGAUUUCUCCAUACGUAAGAAUAAGAUAAAUAGGGGCAAACCUUUGCAAGUACUGAUGUGUUAAUUCUCCGCUAGUGAUGGCUCCCACAAAGAGAGAAGGAUCAAAGCCUAGGUUCUUCAAUUUCUCUAUUGUUGUUGAUGCACGUCUUGAAGAAUUACUUAUGAUCACCAUCUUGGCACCAGUUGUUGCCAGCUUUUCCACUGUCAGCCAUAAGGAUUGUAUCUUUUAGGGAAAAAGGAUCGAUAAAGCACUAACAUGCAUCUCACCUAACAUGUGAAAAUUUUAGUAUAUCAGCAAAGAAAAAUCUAACCACAAUGCUAAAUCUCAAAUGAAAACAUACAUGUUGAAAUCGCGCCUGGGUAAGGUUGCUUGCCAUCAUGAAGGACACCAAAUUGAUCCAAGAACCAAGCCUAUGAAUGACCACCAAGUUAACCAAAAGCAACGAAUCUUAACAGUAUGUAUUAGUACUAGCAAAUACACUCAAGGUUGGCGUAACUACCUACAUUUAUGUAUUACAUAAGUUAAUUUUAGAAGCCUGUUGUGUCAACCUAGCUAUGUGAAAUUUUAGAAUCCCAUCAGCAGUUCCUGGUCAAUAAAUCUUAUACUAUGCGAGCAACUACUCUCAAGGGAGAUUAAGUAAGAGUUAUUCAUGAAUCAAAUAUUUCUAUCUGUGAAGCAUUUCUAUGAAGGUCUGCGCGUAUUUACAAUACGGAUCACGUUCCUUAAAAGAAAUCAUCCAAAUUAAGUGAUUGCUUGACAUUCAAACCGGAUAGUUACGUUUGGUUCAAAGCAAAGCAUAAAUUUACAAUCGAAAUUUAAACUUUUAACCUUGCAAAUUCUUGCAAAACCAAUUUUUGAUUUCAUCUCCAAAGAGAUUUUUUUUUGCUUUCCAUUUCCAAAAGAAAAGGCAAAUAGCAUUUGAGUUGCAUUGAAAUUUGAAAGAAAAGCCUAAAGCAAAAUGAGGAAUUAAAUUAUUCAGAAGUUACUGUCAAUGCUAAAAACCUAUAUGAAAACACUUCAAUUGUCCAAAUUACAACUAAAAUUAAUACUUUGAUUAGCUAAACGCGACUUCGAUCAACAAGAACUUAAAAUACAGAUUUGGGAGGGAAAAGAGAAAAACUUGGAAAUUAACUACCAUUUGAGUACCUUGAAACGACGCGUUUCGGCAAGGUGUUGAAGGCCAUUGAAGGUCUGAAACAUAGGUUCAACGGAAGGAGCAACAGAGCAUUUCGCCAUCAUCUUCCUCUUGUUUCUUUCUUUUGUUUUCGAUUUUUUUUACUCGUUUGCCCUACGGCUUGCACUCGGAGGUGAAUAAAUUUCGAUCUUUUAUCAAUUCUUUUAGAGGCUGAUUUUUCCUCAAACUAUAUAUUUUUUGCAUUUUGUUGCUUAACCUUUUUCUUUUACUCGUUUUCUCUACUUAACUAAUUUUCUUUUCUGUUUUUUCAUUUUGGUACGUACAAAUUCCUUCAUUGUAAAUUUUAGGUUAAAAUCUGUUUUUAGUCCCUGUACUAAAAAGAGUUUAAAAUUAAGUUCUCCAACUAUUUUGAUAUAAAAAUCUUAGUUGAAUCAUUAAAAUUGUAAGUAGUUUCCAUCAAAACUUGUUAAUCGUCAUGUUGAUUAAGCUGCCCGCAUGUGACAUGGCAUAUGCUUGAUAAAAGAUAAAUAUGUUGAGUUGAUACAUUUUAACAAAAACCACCAAUGACAAUAAUAAUUGGAUUAGGAUUUUUAAAUUAAAAAAGUUAGAGGAUUGAUUUUUUAACUUUUGAAAUAUAAGGGAAAAAUGUUAAUCUCUAUAGAAGUACAAAGACUAAGGGGCAGUUUGGUUGGGGGGAAUAGGAAUGCAUUCCCCCUAUUAUGCGGGCCCACCACCAAACGGGCAUUCGGUUGAUUGUAAUGCUAUUACGGGCCGAAUCAGUUCCGUCCCUAUUACGCCCAUUGGCUGUAAUAGGCUUCCCCAUAUUCAGCGCCGAUUAGGGAUUCCUUACCGUUUCUUAUUUUCUAUUACAUAUUCUGCCCUCAUCGAUUUCUGCUUCUUCUUCCAUCGAUAUUGCAAAGGUAAUUUUUGCUUCUUCUUCCAUCGAUUUCUGCUUCUUCUUCUUUUAACAACGAAAAAUGCUCGCACUCUUUCCUUAUUUUUCUUUUCUUUUAUUUUCCGUAAAAUCGAUUUCGUUUUUAUUUUCUCCAUUUUCUAACUCUUCAGCUUUGAGUGACAGGUCGUUACCAUCAUUAUUUUAGCAGGUCGCACUCUUUCCCUGUUUAUUUUACAGGUUAGUUUUGCUUUUGCUCAAAUCUGGAAUAUUUGUUUUUUGUUCUCCUAAUUUUGAUUCCUUUCUUAUGACUUUCAUUCGGCUUUUCUUUGACUGAUUCUAUUGCAUGUUCGAUUGAACAGAUGAAAUUUUUUUCAAUGUGGUUCUAUUACUUGUUUAUUCUAUUGCAUGUUUGAUUGAUUUUGUUGAUAAGGCACUUUGGUUUCCUUUUAUUCUUUUAUGAAACUGAUACUUUUGUUGUCAAUUAAAACUUUUUGACAAAGUUUGUGUUGCUAAGUUAAGGCUAUUUAUAAGGUAGCUAGGAAAGAGCUAACUCUUACGGCUGAUGCCUGUUGGUCUUCAAGUAGAAUAAAGAUGGUUUUUGUUAGAUUCUAUGUUGCUCAGAUUGUUCAUUUUGUUAGAAGCAUUUGUAUCCGACAAAUAUCAGGAUAUGGGUAUGGGGAUAUAAUCCUUCAAUGACUAUUCAAAUACAUGGAAAAACUUUAGGGGAAAUGGGCAUACUCCUGUCGAAAUAUACCCAAUCUGACUCUCACACACGAAUCCAAGUAACAUAGGUUGAAUGAGUUAAGAAAUUGGUAGAGAUUGUAGGUUGAGGCUUCAGGUAAUGUAGAAUUUCAAUUCAGCUAUGAUUGUUUGUUUUCCAAAUAAGGGAAAAUGACACUUGAAGCUUAGCUGAUUACACUGGUUGGGUCUUUAAUCCACGAUGAUCUUCCUUGCAUGGACAACGAUGAUCUUCGGAGAGGGAAACCAACUAAUCACAAAGUUUUUUGUGAGGAUAUCGCUUUCUUAGCUGGGGAUGCUCUUUUAGCUUUUGCUUUUGAACAUGUAGCUAUUUCUACAGUUGGUGUUAAACCUGGUAGGAUUGUAAGGGCAAUUGGAGAAUUAGCUAAAUCUAUUAGGGCUGAAGGGUUGGUGGCUGGUCCAGUUGUGGAUAUAAAUAGUGAGGGACUAACAGAUGUGGGGUUGGAUCAUUUAGAAUUCAUUCAUGUUCAUAAAACUGCUGCUUUGCUUGAAGCUGUUGUGGUUUUAGGGGCAAUUCUUGGAGGUGGAUGUGAUGAAGAUGUGGAAAGGUUGAGGAAAUUUGCAAUGUAUAUUGGGCUUUUGUUUCAGGUUGUGGAUGACAUUCUUGAUGUGACAAAAUCAUCUAAGGAAUUAGGGAAGACUGCAGGAAAAGAUUUGUUGGCUGAUAAAGUCACUUAUCCAAAGUUGAUUGGAAUAGAGAAGUCAAAAGAGUUCGCAGAGAAAUUGAGAAGUGAUUCGUUGGAGUUGCUCCAAGGAUUUGAUUCUGAGAAAGCUGCCCCUUUGAUUGCUUUGGCUAAUUGCAUAGCUUACAGGCAAAACUAACUCUUUUGUUUUUGUUGUUGUAUAAUUCUUAUUCUUGUUGGUUGACGAAAAGGCCUUGAUUUGAUGCUUCUUGUUAUGUUUGAUACAAAAGGCUUUAUGAAAGAAGUAGGAGAAAUAGUUCUAAUGUUGGAUGUAUUCUUCUACAAGGAUGAUAAUGAUAGAAUAUCAUUUUUCUCUUUGUUGCUGUAAUUUAUAUUAUAUAAAAUUCCCAUUAAAUUGGGAUUUAAUUGUUAGUUCUUCCGCAAUUGUUGGUCUUAUGAGUUCUUACAUGUAUGGUGAUCUCUAUAAAGAAUAGUUGUUGGAAUUGGGUGUUUGAAUUUGGAAAAUUUUCAUUACUGUCCACGGCUUAUGUAUGGUACUGCAGAUUUUAGUUUAUCAAGGGACAGAUUAGGCAUAUUUUGUGACAAAUUGCCUGCUGUAACACUGCCUCUGCUGAUCAUUGCCCAUUUAUUUGUAGGAUACUAUCAAGUUAACAAAUGCAUCUUGAUUGAUGCAGUUCAAUGAAAUGAAAAUUUUCUGGACAAAGGUUGUACUGCUCUAAUGUUAUAUUCAAAUUACUUAUUGGAUAUAUUUUUGAUCAUGUUAGUAUGUUGACACGCGAAUUAAAAAAAAUAAGCAUGUGUUAAAGCCACAAACUACAAUAAUAUUUUGUAUUGGUUCACCUUUCUUCCAAUAUAAGGUAUUGUGUUGAGAAAGUGAAAUGCAUGCUUUUAUAUGUAUUUCAUCUAUAACCCUAAUAAAAUCUUAUAAACAUAUAAAUAAUAUGAUUAAAAUCAAUAAUAAAUUUAUACAAAAUUAUAUAUAAAUUAUGUAAAAAUUACCUUAAAUUGAGGCUAAUAUUUUGUAUCAUGUCGAAUAUGAUUUGGUACUUCCUCAUAUUGACCUUUAGCAAGUUUGAUCAUGUCUAUUCCCGUUUGAGGAAAUAUAUGCAACAUAUUAGUAAAAAUCUGACUAACAAUUUUGCCAUACAGUUGAAAUCGCGCUCUUGCAUUCCAAUUUGACUCUCUAUUUCCAAUUAUAUACAAGGCUAAUGCUAACUUCUCCAUUGUAGAUACCUUCUCAUGCUUUAAGACAUAAUUUAUUGGGUAAACUACAAAAAUAGUCACUUUUGUUUGUCUCAGAUUAUAUUUUAAUCACUUAUGUUUGAAAUGUUACAUUUUAGUCACUUACGUUAUUAUUUUGUUACGAAGUAGUCAUUCUACCGUUAAGCUCCGUUACCUCCCUAACGACUGUCCUAUGUGGCAGUCCAAAUGGGUUUUAAAUGCUAAUUUGGAUGUCGUACGUGACAGUCCAAAUUAAAUUUAUUUAAUUAAAAACUUAUUUUCAUCCCAGCAACUGAACAUCCAAGUUGGCAUUUAAAACUCAUUUGGACUGCCAUGUAGUACUGCCAUUAGGGAGGUAACGGAGUUUAACGGUAGAGUGACCACUUCGUAACAAAACGAUAAUGUAAGUGACUAAAACGUAACAUUUCAAACAUAAGUGACUAAAAUGUAAUAUGGGGCAAACAAAAGUGACUACUUUUGUAGUUUACCCUAAUUUAUUUGUAAGUAAUGUAAUAUACAGUAAAAUGUAUUUUUUUGGCUUCUUAAAACUAUUCAUGCAACGACUAUCAUGCCUAUUUAAUACUGCAUCCACCCAUUUUUUAUAUGUAUAAUUUGAAUCCAUACAAGGUUGCUUAGUGAAACAAGUUUCAUGAUGUACCAAUAAACUAGUCACUUCAUUCUCUUCCAAUUCAUGAUAAUUAUUUUCCUUGGCUUGUGUAAUAAUUGUGGCUAUUCUUUGUUAAUCUUUUUCGUUUAGUUCUAUAUCAUCAUAAUCAAUAUAAAACACUUGUACAUAUUGUUAAAUCAUCCAUAAACAAAUAAAAAGAAGUAUAUUUUAUGGCAUUUCAUACCAACAGAAAUAAAAAUACUUCAAUACAACAUUAUAUUAUAUCAUCAUACAUAAGAACUAUCAUACGGUAGAAUUACGCAUUAAGUUUAAAAUAAAAAUAUAGAAACACAUUAAGUAUCAUACAGUAAUUUAGUAAAUAAAAAUCCAAAAUACUGUAACAAACUUUUCAAAAACAUAAUGAGCAUAACUAUAUCACAUUAAUAACCCUAAGGACCUUGUGAUGAAGGUGGUGGUUGAGAAUGUUGAAAAUCAUAUGAAGAUGUUGCUAGCAAUGAUGAAAAGUGUGCAUUACCAAUUUGUUCUUCAUACUCACAUUGAAGCCACCAAGUUCUAAGGCCUGGAUCUAAAUUUAAAAGCAUCUCUCGUUUCACUAGGACUUGAAAUAUUUUGGUGACAAAAAAAUAUAGAAUUGUCUUUUUUGGAAUUUCAUCUUCCAAAACAUGCAAUGCAUCUAUUUCAUUUAAAAUUUAAAACAGUGUAUUGAGAAUGAAUAAAAAUAGUUUCAUUCACAAACUUCUUUUGAGUAGUUAUACUCUCACAUAACUUUUCAAUUUGAGUAGUUAAUAUCUUUCCUAUUGAUCUUCUAAUUGAAUUUUGAUUUUUUUAUUAUCAUUAUCUUGUACAAUCCCGAGCACUCGUUUGCCUCGAUUAGAAGUAUCAAGAGAAGGUUUUAUAGCUACCUCAAGAUUAUGAAUGUCCUCAUUUUCGAUAUCAAUUUAUUUGAAUCAUUAGAUCCAUUGAUGGGUGUAGCAUCUCCCAUAAAAGCUCCACCUAGAAGAAUACCAAACAAAGGUGAUCAUAUAUAUUCUCCAAUAGCCACUAUGUUACCAAACAUUUGCCAUAUUAACUCAUUUGAUCAUGAUUUAAUUCCUUUCUUGUUAAAUCCUCUGGAAUCAAAGGUUUCAUACAUAAUAUGUCACCAGACAUUUCCUACCGUGUAAAUUAUUUAUUUCAAUGAAUCCAACACGUUAAAUCUUAAUAUAGGUAAUACUAACCUGUAUUUUUUUUUACCUUCCAUUUUUUGGUAGCAUCAAUACUCUUCUUAAAUGGACACUAUCCUAGACGAGUAAACUGUUGAAGCAACUCAUUCCGUGAUCUCCAUUCUCUUUUUAAUGUAUCUCACUUAUUUUUCAAUUGUGGUUUUUCAUAAUUUUUGUGUGUCCUUAGUUAUAAUAAUAAUAAAAAACAAUAGCAUUUUCCCAUCCUUUUGAGUUUAGAUAAGUUGUUGAUCUAUUACAGACAUUAAAAUCUUUUACGCAAAGUUCACAAAAUGUCAAAGUGAGCUCGCCAUUCAAAAUAGCUUUCGAUGUUAAAACACUAUGUCACUCCACAUAAUUUAUUAUAUUCACCAUCUAUUAAAUUAAUUUCAAAUAACAAAACUAAAAUGAAAAAUAUAUAAAUAAAAUAUUCAAUUCCUAGAAAAUUUUGUCCAUAAAAAAUAUACUCACUGACCACCCAUUGGAGGUUUCGGUGUAGUUUGGAUGCACAGUGUGUUUACCUCAAUUGAGAUUAGAAGCAAUGGUGGGGUGCGUGCUUAGAUUUAAACGCAACUGUAGCAGUGAAGUGAGAAAAGAAAAUGACUAUUAAGAACAAUAGAUUAGAAAUGAUAUAUAAUAGAAGUUUUUUAAAUUAUUUUACUUUUAUAAAAUAUCAAUAAAAUAUUAAAAUGUAUCUUUUGAUAUUUUAUUUAUUGUCCUAUCAAUUAUAAUAUUUGUAUUUAUUUAAAUGAUAGUUAUAAUAUUAAAACACCUCAAUUGUUAUUUACUUAUUAUCCUAUAAAUUAUAAUAAUUAUUAAUUUAUUAUAUAAUAUAAGUAAUUAUCCAACCUAAUCUAAAGAUAAAUUGAUUGGGCUUUUCAACUUUAGACAUUAAAAUAGAAAGGAAACGUUAAAAAAAUAGAAAGGGCCAUGGGUAAUGUACAGCCCAAAUUUUGCCCGGCCCAAUACCCAAACUUAAUUACAGAGCCCAAUUACAAACCCGAAUUAGAUGGCCCAAAUCAGAAAAUUUUAACAGCCCACUAAUUAAACCCAACAACCCACAAGCCCAAUACCUAAAAUACCCAAACCCAAUUCAACCCAAUGACCUAGCCCAAUACCCCUAACCCAACCAAAUCCAACACAACCCAAAUGGCCCAAAGCAAAAAAGGUCUGGAAACCCUAGCCCUAGGUGCACCGCACCUAGGGUCUUCUGACCCUUGCCCUGCCACCGUCGUCUCUGACCAACGCCGCACCUUUGCCCACCUGCUCUGACCGCCCUGCAAAAUGAAAAUACAACACACAACAAAGCAGACAAACAACAAAAAAGAAACAAGUUGUAAAGCAAAAACAGAAACAGAUAGGGCCUUGUAUUUUCGGCUAUAAAGUCAUUUUUGAACAGAUUGUAAAAAGGGGGGACAGAUAGUCGAAUAAAAAAAAAAAUAUCAGUCAAAAAUCAGAAGGUUUACUCCCAUUUUAAUUUUUGUUUCAUUAUUAUUCAGUUUUUCUAUUCUAUUUUUCAUAUCUUCACACACGAAAAUAAAGCAAAAAAAAAAAGAAAAAAAAAAGGAAAGGGGAGAAGGACCUACUGGAGUCGAUCCGCGUAUUUGUCGUCGGAGGCUUCUUCUCCG
rnacentral:lncRNA from 1 species